UACAGAGGUGGCAAGCGUUGUUCGGAAUUAUUGGGCGUAAAGAGCGCGUAGGCGGUCCGAUAAGUCGGCUGUGAAAGUCAGGGGCUCAACCCUUGGAAGCCGGCCGAUACUGUCGGACUAGAGUCCGGAAGAGGCGAGUGGAAUUCCCGGUGUAGCGGUGAAAUGCGCAGAUAUCGGGAGGAACACCAAUGGCGAAGGCAGCUCGCUGGGACGGUACUGACGCUGAGGCGCGAAAGCGUGGGGAGUAAACAGG
rnacentral:rRNA from 1 species